AACCCUGAGCCCUCCCCCCCGCACUAUAACUCCCACCCAGACUUUCCAUCUCCAGCCCACUGACACACUCUAACUACCUCCCAGACCCUGCACCCUGAGCCCCAGGAGGAGAAUGCAGAAAAAAAUGAAAAAUGGGGCCGGGGGGGGGAGAUUAGAGAGCAUUCCCACCCCCCUGAGCGGGGGGGAAAUGAAGCUGAGCACAGGGCACUAAUCCUAAAUCUGCCACUGCUGGGCAGAGUCCUUUGAGGCUGGGGACUCCACUCCCCAGCAGUGCUAGUGCCAGUGCCCCCUUGCCUUCCUGGGGGGACUUCCGCGAGGAGGCUGCUGCCCGCUGGGAGGCCCAGGAGGGGCAGAGACUCCCCAGUGCUGGCAGCGAAGAGAGAGCAUCCCACAGGAAAUGAAAGUCGGACCAGACAUAGUGCUCACAGCAGUGAAAACUAUUAGAGGAUUAUCCAGGCUGUCUGUCUUUCUCUCACACACUCAUCUAAAAAUGCAUCGUACUUUAACAAUUUAAAAUGUUGGCUCCCAAGCACAUCCUCAAAGAGAUUUCCUUGCAGUAUCUGCCAGCCUACCCACACUUGGCUAUGAAAAGAGAUGAAUUAAACAUACCCACAAACUUUUAAAUACUUACUGAGAAGAGGCGAAAGAAAACUUCCUUGGUGCGCUGUGCUCGGUUCAAGAAAAAACUAAUACAGAAUUUUUUUGUUCUUCCCCUUGUCAGCAGCUCCACCUACAGAAAACAGGAGAAAUGAAACUUAUUCAAAAGCUUACCACUGGUGGCAGCACUGUGAAUUGAUUUUGCGAUAUAAUACGUUUUGUUUCUUUUACACUUUCAUCAUUAACUCCAUCCACAUUCUCAGACAGUAAUCAGGGGAAAUGAAACUAAC